rnacentral:rRNA from 1 species
UACGUAGGGUGCGAGCGUUAAUCGGAAUUACUGGGCUUAAAGCGCGCGUUAGGCUGCAUCGUAAGUGUCUGGUGAAAUCCCACGGCUCACCCGUGGAACUGCCAGGCAUACUGCGGUGCUAGAGUGUGGUAGGGGAGAGCGGAACUCCUGGUGGAGCGGUGAAAAUGGCGUAGAUAUCAGGAGGAACACCGGUGGCGAAGGCGGCUCUCUGGUCCACAACUGGACGCUGAGGUGACGAAAGCUAGGGGAGCAAACGGG